AAUUGCAAAGAUAAAAACACUGUUCGGUUGGUAGUCCGGACGUAACUAUAGUUAUAAGUAACCUGCCUCCUUGGUUGUCCUUUCUUUGUUAAUACUUA
rfam:Anaerofustis stercorihominis DSM 17244 Scfld_02_0 genomic scaffold, whole genome shotgun sequence.